rnacentral:lncRNA from 1 species
GGGGGAGGAUCAAAGCAAGUUUGAUAUAACAUGGUUUCACCUAUAAUGUGGUAAGAUUUUUUGGCUUCCGAGGACAGCGUUAUAGCUGGGUAGAGGAGUAUUUAUAAAACCUCUUUUUAUUGCCUUUUAUGUUCCUUGAUAGGUGUUAACUCAUUUUGUGCCUUAGCCUUUCUAAUUUUGUCCUGAACAUGUUUCAACACGAAAAAGGUUUUCAGAAAUGCACCAUCUCUUAAAAAAACUAAAAACCUCAUGACAAGAAAGACAGGUCUGAACAUGUUGAAACAUGUUUGGGCUUUUCUGGACGUGCCUGCCUAUUUUAGGAGGUAUAUUUCUGAAAUGAAGCUACACCAUAAUUUUGUGGGUCACUACGGGUGAGACCAUUUUUUUCAGGAGCGGGGGGAAGAAGGUGGCUGAGAAAAUUCCUAUCACAGUGUGACCAGAUCCCCGGGGUACAACCUGGAACUGUGGGACUGCUGUGCUCCUUUAACUCUCCAGCCAAUGUAGUUCUUUUAAAUCAAGUGUUAGGCUUGUUUGUCUUCAUAUAAGGUGACCUGUAUGUGAUUUUUUUUUAAUAUCCCAAAGUUUUAUAAAGCAAGUACUUCUGAGAAACACAAAAAGGAAGACAUUAACCCCAAUAUUCUAUACACACGUGCAUGUGCACACUAGCCCAUCCACGCCACUUAAGCUGUAUAAAUCACUCGUGUGUCCUUUCUUUACUGGGGAGAAUUUCAUCUGAAGUCAGAACGUUUCAGAAGGCAGAGACAACACGGAAUAAGUAAUAAUAAUCGGAAGAUAUAUAAACAGUACACAGGUGAGAAGCAAAUAAUUCAAAACUUAAAACAUCCAACUAACGAAACAUGGUUGUAUAUAAAUAGAAUUAUCUUCUCCACCAACGGUUUCAGGGAAAAGUAGUGUUUAACAUCAUAUCAGAAGGUUGUGGGUAAAUCCAGAGAUUCAAAUAAUUAAACCCUUUGUUCAAUAAUAAUCUUAACACCUAGGUCUUAUAUAGAUUCCUUGACAAAGCAGAAGCUUUGCCUUUUAACAAACACUAAAUUUUCUUUCUUUUAUGAAUUGAAGUAAUGCACUAAUGUUAGAUUUGAAAAUAACACUUUAGUUUUAAUAUAACUCAAUUUUAAACAUCUAACCUUCAAAGUGAUGGUCCUGUUUCCAGCAAAGAGACAACAAUUAGUUGUACAGUUGCUGGUGAAAGUUAAUACAAUGAAGCAAGGUAAUAGAUUUCUUCAUAAUAGUAGUAUAAGACUAUGCUAAUAUUCUAAUGCAAAGAUGGAAUGCUACAAAACUGAUAAAAGAGUGAUAAGUUGCAUUCUAAAUAUGUGUAUUUUUCAUUUAGAAUGUACCUGCAGCUGGGAUCACU